UACGAGGGGCCCAAACAUUAUUCGGAAUUACUGGGCUUAAAGAGUUCGUAGGCGGCAUGGUAAGUAGGGUGUGAAAUCCCUCGGCUCAACCGAGGAAUUGCGCUCUAAACUACCGUGCUAGAGGAAGCUAGAGGUGAGCGGAACUGAUGGUGGAGCGGUGAAAUGCGUUGAUAUCAUCAGGAACACCGGAGGCGAAGGCGGCUCACUGGGGCUUUUCUGACGCUGAGGAACGAAAGCCAGGGUAGCGAACGGG
rnacentral:rRNA from 1 species